rnacentral:rRNA from 1 species
CACGUAGGGACCAAGCGUUGUCCGGAUUCAUUGGGCGUAAAGAGCUCGUAGGCGGUUCGAUAAGUCGGGUGUGAAACCUCCAGGCUCAACCUGGAGACGCCACCCGAUACUGUCGUGACUAGAGUCCAGUAGGGGAGCGUGGAAUUCCUGGUGUAGCGGUGAAAUGCGCAGAUAUCAGGAGGAACACCAGCGGCGAAGGCGGCGCUCUGGGCUGGAACUGACGCUGAGGAGCGAAAGCGUGGGGAGCGAACAGGAUUAGAUACCCUGGUAGUCCACGCCGUAAACGUUGGGUACUAGGUGUGGGGUCUUAUCAACGGAUUCCGUGCCGAAGCUAACGCAUUAAGUACCCCGCCUGGGGAGUACGGCCGCAAGGCUAAA